UACGUAGGGUGCGAGCGUUAAUCGGAAUUACUGGGCGUAAAGCGUGCGCAGGCGGUUUUGUAAGCCCGAUGUGAAAUCCCCGGGCUCAACCUGGGAAUGGCAUUUGGGACUGCAAGGCUGGAGUGUGGCAGAGGAGACUGGAAUUCCUGGUGUAGCAGUGAAAUGCGUAGAUAUCAGGAGGAAUACCGAUGGCGAAGGCAGGUCUCUGGGCUGACACUGACGCUCAUGCACGAAAGCGUGGGGAGCAAACAGG
rnacentral:rRNA from 1 species